AGAGAAGAGAAGAGAAGAGAAGAGAAGAGAAGAGAAGAGAAGAGAAGAGAAGAGAAGAGAAGACUAGCUUUUUGAUCUAUGCUGAAAGGUCAUAUUUGUCUCCCUGCAAAGAUGCAAACCUGAAAACAUUUGCACUGAUCCACUGGGCAACAGUCCCUUCAAGCUGAUCACAGUGCAUGGAAAGAAGAAGCCCUCCCAGACAAACUAGUAUGUUAAAGCCACCAAGGUGAUUUACUGUGCCCAGCUGUCGCAGAAGGCAGCCUUCCCUGCACUGCCAAGGGAGUGUAGAAGCUGUCUGGCAUUUCAUGCAUGAUACCUAACACUAGCACAGUCAAGCCCAGGUUUCCAGGUCACAUCCAACUCCAUAUUGCAAGGUGCUGAGUAACAGCUUAUGAUCCCUAUCAAGUAAUGGCUCCAGGGUUUGUUUACCAACAUCCACUGGAGACUCCAGCUUUUCUGUAGAAACAGAAACCGAGCCCAGGCUUAUCCAGGAAACCCAAAAGUCCACGUGGGCACAUCCAUAGAGAAGACAGCCACAGCUCAGCCUCCUGUUCUACCUCUUGGACUGCUGUGUCCCU